rnacentral:lncRNA from 1 species
CUUAUUUCUGAUUGACCAGUUAUGUUUUGUAUUGCUGGUUGGUUUACAUAUGUUGUUAUUUGAAUUCGAGUUAUUUCUCAUUGCAGCGAUGUUUAAUGGUUAAAGAUGUAAAUGGUUGAUUUUCUUAUUUGAAAUAAGUCUGAUAAGAGAUCAGUACUAUCUUGUAGUGAUGAAAAAAGCAAAGCUUAAAGAAAUUAAGAUAGUUCAGAAAACAAACUUUUUCUAAAGCUAUCAGUCAUUAUAACAUGUUGACUUUGACUGAUUAAAAAAAAGUUCAAUAUUGGGACAAAAGGGAAAUAACUCAUGCAAAAAUUGUGCCAAUCAGAAACUUGCCAUUGUUUAUUUUAAGUAUUUGUAUGAGGCUAUAACAUACAAGCUAUAUUAUAAAUGUCAUUUUUUGCAACGUUAUAAUAGAAUUCUUUAUGUAAUUUGGAACUGACUUAGCCUUAGAGAUGAGACAUUUACCACUUGUGUAACACAGGAUAUGAUUUUAAAUGUUACACUAGGGAGUAAAAAAAUAUAUAUUUCACUAUAAAAGGAGCAGGACCUGCAGACCCUUGCUGAACAUGUGUGUCAUACAAUUGUUUAUGAUACUAAGUUGCUCAAUCGUCAGUAUUCUAUGUUAUAUUUUGUUAUUAUUGUCAACAUUUUAAACCUCACUUAUGCUCAGUAUAAAGACAUUGGAAAAAAAAAUGUCUAUCCCUGUAAAAUGAGCAUAGAGCAUGACAUGAAAGAAAUAUUUCUUAAUUAAGACUCAAUCUCCACUGAUAAAUUGCACUUAUUACAUGAUUGUAUAUGUAGAAUAGUAUUCAGAAAUGUUUGUUCUGGUUCUCUAUUAUCUUUCACUAAAGCACAAUGUUAUAUACUGUUGUUUUUUUUAUUUCUAUUUGCCUUGUUUUGUAUGUAAAAUAUGCUUGUUUUCCAUAAGUUGCUUAUUUUGUCACUCCACUAUAGCAGGAUGACAUUGAAUCCAACAAAUUUUUUAAAAGAAGCUUCAUACUAUUUGUAGUUCCUAGAAA